rnacentral:rRNA from 1 species
UACGUAGGGUGCAAGCGUUGUCCGGAAUUAUUGGGCGUAAAGAGCUCGUAGGCGGUCUGUCGCGUCUGCUGUGAAAACUCAGGGCUUAACCCUGAGCUUGCAGUGGGUACGGGCAGACUAGAGUGCGGUAGGGGAGACUGGAAUUCCACGUGUAGCGGUGAAAUGCGUAGAGAUGUGGAGGAACACCAGUGGCGAAGGCGGCUCUCUGGACUGUAACUGAACGCUGAGACGGCGAAAAGCGUGGGGGAGCAAACAGG